rnacentral:rRNA from 1 species
AUUGAACGCUGGCGGCAGGCCUAACACAUGCAAGUCGAGCGGAUGAGUGGAGCUUGCUCCAUGAUUCAGCGGCGGACGGGCGAGUAAUGCCUAGGAAUCUGCCUGGUAGUGGGGGACAACGUUUCGAAAGGAACGCUAAUACCGCAUACGUCCUACGGGAGAAAGUGGGGGAUCUUCGGACCUCACGCUAUCAGAUGAGCCUAGGUCGGAUUAGCUAGUUGGUGAGGUAAAGGCUCACCAAGGCGACGAUCCGUAACUGGUCUGAGAGGAUGAUCAGUCACACUGGAACUGAGACACGGUCCAGACUCCUACGGGAGGCAGCAGUGGGGAAUAUUGGACAAUGGGCGAAAGCCUGAUCCAGCCAUGCCGCGUGUGUAAAGAAGGUCUUCGGAUUGUAAAGCACUUUAAGUUGGGAGGAAGGGCAGUAAGUUAAUACCUUGCUGUUUUGACGUUACCAACAGAAUAAGCACCGGCUAACUUCGUGCCAGCAGCAGCCGCGGUAA